UACGUAGGGCGCAAGCGUUGUCCGGAAUUAUUGGGCGUAAAGAGUUCGUAGGCGGUUUGUCGCGUCUGCUGUGAAAACCCGAGGCUCAACCUCGGGCCUGCAGUGGGUACGGGCAGACUAGAGUGCGGUAGGGGAGAUUGGAAUUCCUGGUGUAGCGGUGGAAUGCGCAGAUAUCAGGAGGAACACCAAUGGCGAAGGCAGAUCUCUGGGCCGUAACUGACGCUGAGGAGCGAAAGCAUGGGGAGCGAACAGG
rnacentral:rRNA from 1 species